CCCCUUGAAAACUAAGACCCCUCGAGACCUAAGACCCCUCAAAAGCUAAGACCCCUCGAAACCAAAGACCCCUGGAAAGACUGGUUCAGGAUUGUGGUUUUCGCGCUUGAAAAGCACUUCAAAACUAAGACCCUGUUUGAAUUCAUGGCCAAUUAUAGUGCAAUUAAGUUACCCAACAAUUGAAUACAGUUUGAGUCACGACUUUUGAGAAUUUCACAAUAGUUCAAUUCAGUCCUCAACACUUAGUUACUUACUGUAUAUGUUAAAGAAUUCUCUUCAUGUGCCAUGUUUUGAGCGAAAGGCCAUUCUGACUAUCAUGCUAGAAAAUUUUGCUUUUGCAACAAAGAAAAAAUUAGAAGACCCCUGAAAAAUGCAUUCUGAACAUCAAGCACUGUUAAUGGCCCCUGCGAUUCAGUAGUUUGUUUCCCUCUUUUAAAGCUGUGGUACGUCCAUCGCAUGGUUGGUUGCUUGACGGCUGUGUGGGUUUUCAAUAUCUUCCAAUGCUAUUUAUAUAUCAUUGAUGCAAAUUGUAAUUCACACCAGGCCGAACAUUUUCCUGAAAAAGGUCUGCCCUGAAAUACGAAUUACCCAUUUACCUCAAUAUCCAAGUGACAUUGGAUAAUGUGACUCCAUGGCUGAUUGUAUUUAGAAGGGAUGGUAAGACCCAAAAAUCAACAUUUGGUCAUACAUGCCGCAAGUUCUAAAUAUGCAGAUAUGAUGGUCUAAUCAAAGUUCAUGUAACUAAUGACCCCAUUGAUCCGGCUAAAGUUUUUUUGCACCACAGAAAAGGACUUAUGACAAGGUGAGAACUGACCUUACAAAUCACAACAUAUCCAACAUAUCAAACGUGCCAAACAUAUUAUGGAAAGUUACAAAAACUCUACCAUGGGAAAGAAGAUGAACUGAGCUGGUCAUGAAUUGUUGUCAUUUAACACUUUACUGCUCAAGAAUACUUGAAGAAUACUACCGGAUGUCACACGUGAGAGCUGCGAUCAGAAAAGCUUAUCCCGGCAAAAAAUUGCGUUUAAAGGUUCCUGAAAAUUGAAAACGGGCAACUUAUACUAGCAGAAUAUGUUAAAACAGCCUUUUGCUUGAAACGUAUACAUCAAAAGCAUUCUCUGCUGCGUUGACGUAAGGCACUGUUAAUUAUGUACUUGGUAAUUCAGGCCCUGUCCACACUAAUGCAUGGUGAAUUUUAUUUAAUGAGGAAAGAGAAACAGAAAGCUCACUUUUUCUUUCUGAAUUAAACAGACGGUGUAAAUUUAGCAGUGAAAAGUUUACUUAUCUAUAUUCAACAUUUAAUUUUGCAGCUCAAUAGCCUGCGUGUAAUCACCUCAAGUAAAAUUCACGAUCUCCCAAGUUGUAGCUCCUCCAGAUUGUAAAGAUCACCUUGGCUUGGGCGUAAAACAUGCACAAGAGUACACAAUCCUGGCUUAAAAUCAAUGACAUUUUGAAUUACCAGUUAUGUAAAGGACAUGAACACCAAAUUAGUAAAGUUGCCUGUCAACUGAUUAUCCCUCUUUCCGUAAAGGAAAUGUGCAGUCAGUUUUUUUGAGUUGAAGAGUUGCCAUGUGGAAGCUUUUCUAGAAAUAAUAAUUUUACAGACUCAACAGCAAGAUUUUUGCAUUGUUUUUAUCCAAACAAUUCUGCAAACUAUUUAAUAGGCAAAUGAGGAACAUGCUUGUUUACAUAUGCUUAUCUAAAUGAAAGAAGGGUUGGGAUAAUUCAAGAAAAUUAUGUAAACUUUUGGGAAUUCUCCCAACCUUUCAGAUGGCUUGCCCUGCACUGACUGGCCAACUAUGUUUGACUGCUUGGCAGACUUAGACUGAUUAAUUGACAAACUGAAUGACAGAAAUGCUCUAGGUGAUUAGCAGAGUUGGUGGAAUAGAUAAUGCAGUGUACAGGAAAGGGAAUGAAGUGCAUUCUCACCCAUAUUGGAAGAUAGUUCCCGAUAAUUCAGAAGUCCACAAGUGAGCAUGUCUAAAUGUGUUCAUUGUCGUUGAACAUCGAAUUAUUUUCGGUUUUAAAACGAAGAUCAAGGGAGACGAGAGGACUAUAUUUGCGGUUCUACCGCAAAGAAUACAAGUUUAAAGAGAAGUGAUACCUUUAUUUACCCUCGGCAGUGUUUAUAGCACAAGUGCUAGUGGGGCCGAGCAAACAACUGAAACAAAUCAUUCUAAUAGAACAUAACAGAAGAUCAACAAAGGAGAAAAGAAUCCUAUACAUUUGAUACCACAAAGAGUACAAGUUUAAAAGGAAGGUCAAGGAAGACGAUAAUACUGUCCGUAAAUAUCAGUCUUGGAGAGGAUUUCGAUUUGUUUCAGCGUUUAGGAAUUCUACUUCGUUUCUAUUUCUGAAAAUGUAUUUUAGAGGUACGAUUUGAAGAGGAAAAAAAGCAAAGAAGAAACGAAAAGGUCAGGGAAGUGUUUGCGUUGAAGAGAAGGAGAAAUUGGUCAACAAUACACUCCAAAUUCUCGCACGUAAGACUUGCUCACUUACACAUUACAGUCAGCCAGGUUUUGAUGAGAUUAUUUUACAAAUUUAUUGUGCAUUCAUUAUUAUAAUAAUUACAGAAUAAAGGAAGGCAUAAAAAAUGGGGGGAACCCGUCCACCACCCCCUACCUCUAUCUUAUUUUAUAGAUAUUAUGAAAAUGACCAUCUCAUACAAGUGACUAAGAGAAAUGUCAACCCUGGAAGGAAAGAAAAAAUCAGGGGUCGCCAGACGCAUGCGUUUGUUAUAAAUGCAUGCACCACAAAGUAGAUAACUUUGAGAAAGUCUUAAGAAAGUUAUUUGAAGGUCGGGCGAGGUGGUGGAGGUUAGUUGGGUGAAUAAUGAAACUGUCUAAAAGUAAUCACUGUUGUAAAAUCAAUGUAUUAUAAGAUUGUAAG
rnacentral:lncRNA from 1 species